AGACCCCGGAGAGCGGAGAAGCCCGGGCGGGCGGGUGUGGGGGGGCGAGCAAGAGCGAGGGCGCCCGUGUGGCCUCAGCUGCAUCCUUGGCGCUCGGCAGACGCUCUCUGCCUGGGCCAGGCUCCGAGCUGGGGUCCUGCCCUCGGCGGACUCGCUCGUCCUGGCGAGGCGGGGCGAAGCGCCGCAGGCCAACACGGGACCCUUCGGAGAAACGGCGGGCACCUCGGCGUUGACGUCAGAACACCUGUCGCUGUGUGUACCCUUGGGGGAAGCACCGGUUCUCUUUCUCUAGGGGACAGUUCCUGUAUCUAUAAAUAAGAGCUAAUACUUCCCAGUGUGGGGUGAGGCCUGGCUGGCAGGGGCGACAUGGCUGAUCAGUCAAUGACAGACCAGGGUGACCUUUGCCCUCUUCUGAGAUCUCAGCGUGUGCUCCAUGCUGACUUCAUCACCUCCCAUAAGGGUCUAUGUGUACAGUCCGCGAGCGGCAGAGCUGUUUGAACUCGGCCAUCCCAGCCCUAACCCGCCCUGUGUAAAGAGCCAUCUGACCUGCAACCGGAGUCCAGGAAGGGGAGCAUCAGCAGGCUUCUCCGGGGAUGGCAUUCCAUUUGAGGCAGUCUGGAUUCUACCUACUAGUUGUGCACACACAAAAAAACUGAAGGAAGUGAAGUACCUGUGGCACAUGGGACCUGAGCUGGAGGACUCCCUGGGCUGUGGAGAAGAGAACUGAGCCUUACCCCAAAGGGACCUCCAGAGCCUGCUGUGAAACAGGCUGCUGACCACAGUCCGAGGGGCAGUGGUGGAGGAAUAGCAGAUUUCCAGUGCUGCCACGCUGGCCAGGAAAAAGUACACAGUGGUGUGGAGAGAACGGUUGACCCAGAUGAUCACAGAAGUGAAGGCAUGGCUGCUGCUGCUGCUCAGGUACACAAUCCGGAAGGUCAGGAAAAUCAGCAUCUACAACUCGGCGAGUUUGGAGAAGGGGCUGAAGUGGAAGUGAAUCAUCCCAGGUCGUUUUGCGUCCUCCUUGUAUUCAGUGCAUAGGGUCUGAUAAUGGCACAGGUGCUGCCCUCAGGAUAAAUAAAUGUCAGGACACGGAGCUCCUCCUGGAUGACCCAUUCAACUCCUGGCCUUGCCCUUCCUUGACCUUCUCCACCCCGACCGUCGUGACCUCUAGCCUACAUUCCGCAGCUCACUUCUCCAACAGAUUUUUUGUUGUUGUAAUCACCCAGAACUAGUUCACCACUGAAACAUUUUUUCAAUUUUGCGGUAAGAUAUAUAUUGCAUAAUAUUUACAAUUUUAGCCAUGUGUAAGUACACAAUUCAGUGCCGUUAAACACAUUCUCAAUCUUGUGUAACCAUCACCACUAUUUAUACCCAAAACUGCAUUAUCCCAACAAAAACAUUGUGCCCAUUAAAGAACAGCUCCCCACUAUCUCCUCCUUCCAGACCCUAGUAACCUGUAUUGUGCUUUGUGUCUACAAACUUGCCUGUUCUAGGGACCUCAUGCAAGUGAGGAUAAAUACAAUAUUUAUCCUUCUGCAUCUGGCUCACUUCACUAAACAUCAUGUUUUCAAGGGCCAUCCAUGUGGCGAUACAUACCAACAUUUUUGCAUUCCUUUCUGUGGCUGAGUACCAUUCCACUGUGUGUAUAGACCACAUUUUUGUUUACCCUUCAUUUCUUUAGGGAAACUUGGCUUGUUUCCUCCUUCUGGCUAUUGUGUACACUGGUGUAUAAAUAUCUGUUCGAGUUGCACUGAAACCCUAAAGCACAGGAUACCAUUCCCAGACCACAAUCCCUCUCUUCUCGUAAUCCCUUGCCUGGUUGUCAGGAACACAGCCCGUGGGGGUGAGACCAUCUAGGGUCUAAUCCGAGAUCUGCCAUCGACCAACAGUACAACCUUGAGCAAGUUAUUGAAGCUUUUUGCUUCAAUUUCCUUAUCUGUAAAGAUAACUCUUUAAGAUUGCUGUGAGAAGUACAUGUUUCUGCCCUCCGUAUAUGUUAGCAAUAAUCAUUAACACUACUCUUCCACCUUUUCUUUUUUUAAUUCUUC